rnacentral:lncRNA from 1 species
GUUAGGUAAGACCAUGAUUAACAACAUUUAACAUUUGUCUCCGUCUAUAAAGUGCUUGUUAGUCUUUACAU